GAUGAACGCUGGCGGCGUGCCUAAUACAUGCAAGUCGAGCGAACGGACGAGAAGCUUGCUUCUCUGAUGUUAGCGGCGGACGGGUGAGUAACACGUGGAUAACCUACCUAUAAGACUGGGAUAACUUCGGGAAACCGGAGCUAAUACCGGAUGAUAUUUUGAACCGCAUGGUUCAAAAGUGAAAGACGGUCUUGCUGUCACUUAUAGAUGGAUCCGCGCUGCAUUAGCUAGUUGGUAAGGUAACGGCUUACCAAGGCAACGAUGCGUAGCCGACCUGAGAGGGUGAUCGGCCACACUGGAACUGAGACACGGUCCAGACUCCUACGGGAGGCAGCAGUAGGGAAUCUUCCGCAAUGGGCGAAAGCCUGACGGAGCAACGCCGCGUGAGUGAUGAAGGUCUUCGGAUCGUAAAACUCUGUUAUUAGGGAAGAACAAAUGUGUAAGUAACUGUGCACAUCUUGACGGUACCUAAUCAGAAAGCCACGGCUAACUACGUG
rnacentral:rRNA from 1 species